rnacentral:lncRNA from 1 species
GGGCAUGGGUUUCUCAUGGUGAAAGGAGAGGAGGCAUGGAGAAUUAAUAGUAUAUAGGGUUUAUGAGUUGGUUAAGUCCUGUUCCAAAUAGGACUCCUAAUUCUUAGUCAAACUCUAAUUAAUUUUUGGAUCCAAUCCUAACCAACUUAGAAAUUAGUUAUAACAAACUAACUAAUUAGGUCCUAGCCCAAUUAAAAAAUCAAUUAGACCCUAAUUCAAUUAAAAAAUUAGUUAGAUAAAAAUUCCA